CAAUAGCGUAUACUAAAGUUGUUGACAGUUAAAAAGCUCGUAGUUGGGAUUUCUGGUUGUGAGAUUCGGUCUGCUUCGUAAGGAGUAUGUACUAGAAUUUUCAUGUCCAUCCUCGGAGUAUUGUUAUAUGGGGAUUAAUUUUUCGUGUAAUGAAUCUCCGUCAUUUACUGUGAGUAAACUAGAGUGUUCAAAGCAGGCUUAGGCCGUUGAAUACAUUAGCAUGGAAUAAUAAGAUAAGACCUUGGUCUAUUUUGUUGGUUUAUUUUCCAAGGUAAUGAUUAAUAGGGAUAGUUGGGGGUAUUCGUAUUCAAUUGUCAGAGGUGGAAUUCUCAGAUUUGUUAAAAGACUGACUUAAUGCGAAAGCAUUUGCUUAAGGAUGUUUUCAUUAAAUCAAAGAAC
rnacentral:rRNA from 1 species